UACGAAGGGGGCUAGCGUUGCUCGGAAUCACUGGGCGUAAAGCGCACGUAGGCGGCUUUUUAAGUCAGGGGUGAAAUCCUGGAGCUCAACUCCAGAACUGCCUUUGAUACUGAGAAGCUUGAGUCCGGGAGAGGUGAGUGGAACUGCGAGUGUAGAGGUGAAAUUCGUAGAUAUUCGCAAGAACACCAGUGGCGAAAGCGGCGCACUGGACCAUAACUGACGCUGAGGCGCGAAAGCUAGGGGAGCAAACAGG
rnacentral:rRNA from 1 species